GGGGAGGCUAAUCUGCAAGUCGAGCGAGCUUGCCUAGAUGAUUUUAGUGCUUGCACUAAAUGAAACUAGAUACAAGCGAGCGGCGGACGGGUGAGUAACACGUGGGUAACCUGCCCAAGAGACUGGGAUAACACCUGGAAACAGAUGCUAAUACCGGAUAACAACACUAGACGCAUGUCUAGAGUUUGAAAGAUGGUUCUGCUAUCACUCUUGGAUGGACCUGCGGUGCAUUAGCUAGUUGGUAAGGUAACGGCUUACCAAGGCAAUGAUGCAUAGCCGAGUUGAGAGACUGAUCGGCCACAUUGGGACUGAGACACGGCCCAAACUCCUACGGGAGGCAGCAGUAGGGAAUCUUCCACAAUAGACGAAAGUCUGAUGGAGCAACGCCGCGUGAGUGAAGAAGGGUUUCGGCUCGUAAAGCUCUGUUGGUAGUGAAGAAAGAUAGAGGUAGUAACCGGCCUUUAUUUGACGGUAAUUACUUAGAAAGUCACGGCUAACUACGUGCCAGCAGCCGCGGUAAUACGUAGGUGGCAAGCGUUGUCCGGAUUUAUUGGGCGUAAAGCGAGUGCAGGCGGUUCAAUAAGUCUGAUGUGACAGCCUUCGGCUCAACCGGAGAAUUGCAUCAGAAACUGUUGAACUUGAGUGCAGAAGAGGAGAGUGGAACUCCAUGUGUAGCGGUGGAAUGCGUAGAUAUAUGGAGGAACACCAGUGGCGAAGGCGGCUCACUGGACUGUAACUGACGUUGAGGCUCGAAAGCGUGGGGAGCAAACAGGAUUAGAUACCCUGGUAGUCCACGCCGUAAACGAUGAUCACUANGUGUGGGUGGGUAUGGACCCAUCGGUGCCGCAGCAAACGCAAUAAGUGAUCCCACUGGGGAGUACGUUCGCAAGAAUGAAACUC
rnacentral:rRNA from 1 species